ensembl:lncRNA
CCUGUCUGAGUUUGAGGGAGAGGUGCCACGGCUGUUAACGUACCGGGAGUUUAAGGGAGAGGUGCCACGGCUGUUAACGUACCGGGAGUUUAAGGGAGAGGUGCCACGGCUGUUAACGUACCGGGAGUUUAAGGGAGAGGUGCCACGGCUGUUAACGUACCGGGAGUUUAAGGGAGAGGUGCCACGGCUGUUAACGUACCGGGAGUUUAAGCGAGAGGUGCCACGGCUGUUAACGUACCGGGAGUUUAAGGGAGAGGUGCCACGGCUUUUAACGUACCGGGAGUUUAAGAAAAUCACAGCAGCAUGUACAGGGAAGAAAAUAGAAUUAAAAGAUACACA